UAACGCGUGAGGAACCUGCCUUGAAGAGGGGGACAACAGUUGGAAACGACUGCUAAUACCGCAUGAAGCAUAGGGGUCGCAUGAUCUUUAUGCCAAAGAUUUAUCGCUUCAAGAUGGCCUCGCGUCUGAUUAGCUAGUUGGCGGGGUAACGGCCCGCCAAGGCGACGAUCAGUAGCCGGACUGAGAGGUUGAACGGCCACAUUGGGACUGAGACACGGCCCAG
rnacentral:rRNA from 1 species